UCCUGUUUUGGUUCACGUUUUCUAUGUUGCUCUAAUGGCGCUAAAUCGCUAGCAACCGAUUAGUCAGCAAGGCAUGUGCUUGUCCCAGGUGGGAAAAAAAGUAAAGAAUUUUUUAGUAUUUUUUGGUUAGUGUUGUUUUACACAUUUGUAUUAUAAGUUAUCUUUAAAGCUGAAGGUUUUUGAAAGUGGGGGGUUGACCGCAGAUGGAGGAGCGAUGCAGGCGCACUUACACUCCGGACCGGACGUGAUGGUCUCCACCGUGUAAGAGUCCUGCACGGUUGCGCUGCCCUCCUCUAUCCGCCGGCAGGCGCUCCUGCUCAAGGGUCUGACAACACAUUGACACCGACAGUCAGAGCCUUCCGAGAGGGCUUUCACUUUGUCAUAAUCACCCAGCAGCUACAAAGAGAAAAGGACGAAACCGGAAGGGUGAGGUGAGAAAUACGGCUCCACAGUCCGCCGUACUUGUCCAGGUCCAUCCUGUCGAAGGCGAGUGGACGACCGUGUGAGAGGAACUUCCUCUGGAGGUGGUCGUCCACCAUCUCUUCCACAGCGC